rnacentral:rRNA from 1 species
GAUGAACGCUGGCGGCGUGCCUAAUACAUGCAAGUCGAGCGAACAGACGAGGAGCUUGCUCCUCUGACGUUAGCGGCGGACGGGUGAGUAACACGUGGAUAACCUACCUAUAAGACUGGGAUAACUUCGGGAAACCGGAUCUAAUACCGGAUAAUAUAUUGAACCGCAUGGUUCAAUAGUGAAAGACGGUUUUGCUGUCACUUAUAGAUGGAUCCGCGCCGCAUUAGCUAGUUGGUAAGGUAACGGCUUACCAAGGCAACGAUGCGUAGCCGACCUGAGAGGAUGAUCAGCCACACUGGAACUGAGACACGGUCCAGACUCCUACGGGAGGCAGCAGUAGGGAAUCUUCCGCAAUGGGCGAAAGCCUGACGGAGCAACGCCGCGUGAGUGAUGAAGGUCUUCGGAUCGUAAAACUCUGUUAGUAGGGAAGAACAAAUGUGUAAGUAACUAUGCACGUCUUGACAGUACCUAAUCAGAAAGCCACGGCUAACUACGUG